UACGUAGGUGGCAAGCGUUGUCCGGAUUUAUUGGUCGUAAAGGGAGCGCAGGUGGUUUCUUAAGUCUGAUGUGAAAGCCCACGGCUUAACCGUGGAGGGUCAUUGGAAACUGGGGAACUUGAGUGCAGAAGAGGAAAGUGGAAUUCCAAGUGUAGCGGUGGAAUGCGUAGAUAUUUGGAGGAACACCAGUGGCGAAGGUGACUUUCUGGUCUGUAACUGACACUGAGGCUCGAAAGCGUGGGGAGCGAACAGGAUUAGAUACCCUGGUAGUCCCUGA
rnacentral:rRNA from 1 species